rnacentral:rRNA from 1 species
AUUGAACGCUGGCGGCAGGCCUAACACAUGCAAGUCGAACGAGUGGCGGACGGGUGAGUAAUGUCUGGGAAACUGCCCGAUGGAGGGGGAUAACUACUGGAAACGGUAGCUAAUACCGCAUACCAUCGGAUGUGCCCAGAUGGGAUUAGCUAGUUGGUGGGGUAACGGCUAACCUAGGCGACGAUCCCUGGCUGGUCUGAGAGGAUGACCAGCCAAACUGGAACUGGGACACGGUCAAGACUCCUCCGGGAGGAAGAAGGGGGAAAUAUUGCAAAAUGGGCGCAAGCGUGAUGCAGCCAUGCGGCGUGUAGGAAGAAGGCCUUCGGGUGGUAAAGUACGUUCAGCGAGGAGGCGUUACUCGCAGAAGAAGCACCGGCUAACUCCGUGCCAGCAGCCGCGGUAAUUC